AGAGCUGAGAUCUUGAUCGUCCCAUCCCCACACUGGUUUGUAGUAGGAGCCAUCGCCUGUUCGCUUGGCUCGCUUCUGAAUGAUGUCACGGGAAACACUCUUCAUGUCGUAGGCCCAUCCGAUUUGACCCAUCCAGUCGAUGAAUCUGGUGGUGAAGUUGUAGCGGAACAGACCCAGCUCUGAUGACCUGUAAUCCCACGGGAAUACGUGGUGGUAAUUGUGCCAGCCCUCUCCUAAGAUUUGGAAAAUGAUGUACUGGUUGAAAAGGAUGAUUCCAAUGUAAAAUGAAAGAAGUUAAAUAAAAUGCGUAGAACUGUUGGCUAGAUGAGCAAAAGUACCAAUUUUCCCAACCUCAAAAUAACGACAUUAAAAAUGAAGUUUGAAUAUUGGAUUUGGAAGCAUUGCUGAAAAUCCGUUGUUGCGAAA